rnacentral:rRNA from 1 species
UACGUAGGGGGCAAGCGUUGUCCGGAUUUAUUGGGCGUAAAGAGCGCGUAGGCGGCCGCACAGGUCCGUUGUGAAAACUGGAGGCUUAACCUUCAGACGUCGAUGGAAACCGUGCGGCUAGAGUCCGGAAGAGGAGAAUGGAAUUCCUGGUGUAGCGGUGAAAUGCGCAGAUAUCAGGAAGAACACCCGUGGCUAAGGCGGUUCUCUAGUACGGUACUGACGCUGAGACGCGAAAGCGUGGGGAGCGAACAGG